rnacentral:rRNA from 1 species
AUUGAACGCUGGCGGCAGGCUUAACACAUGCAAGUCGAGCGGAUGAAGGGAGCUUGCUCCUGGAUUCAGCGGCGGACGGGUGAGUAAUGCCUAGGAAUCUGCCUGGUAGUGGGGGAUAACGUCCGGAAACGGGCGCUAAUACCGCAUACGUCCUGAGGGAGAAAGUGGGGGAUCUUCGGACCUCACGCUAUCAGAUGAGCCUAGGUCGGAUUAGCUAGUUGGUGGGGUAAAGGCCUACCAAGGCGACGAUCCGUAACUGGUCUGAGAGGAUGAUCAGUCACACUGGAACUGAGACACGGUCCAGACUCCUACGGGAGGCAGCAGUGGGGAAUAUUGGACAAUGGGCGAAAGCCUGAUCCAGCCAUGCCGCGUGUGUGAAGAAGGUCUUCGGAUUGUAAAGCACUUUAAGUUGGGAGGAAGGGCAGUAAGUUAAUACCUUGCUGUUUUGACGUUACCAACAGGAUAAGCACCGGCUAACUUCGUG